rnacentral:rRNA from 1 species
GCCGCCGCGGUAAUACGGAAGGUCCGGGCGUUAUCCGGAUUUAUUGGGUUUAAAGGGAGCGUAGGCCGGAGGGUAAGCGUGUUGUGAAAUGCAGUUGCUCAACAUCUGCACUGCAGCGCGAACUGUUCUCCUUGAGUGCGCAGGAAGUAGGCGGAAUUCGUCGUGUAGCGGUGAAAUGCUUAGAUAUGACGAAGAACUCCGAUUGGGAAGCCAGCUUACUGUAGCGCCACUGACGCUGAUGCUCGAAAGUGCGGGUAUCGAACAGGAUUAGAUACCCC